AGCCAUGGAGUGCGCGACCGAGCGAGGCUGUGUGUCUAGGAAGUUUCAUCUUGUAAGAGCUGUGAGACACCCACGUAUUCUCUUAGGUGCAGGACCGCCAAGCGACUGGAGUUACAGAAGAGGAAGGGAGGAGAGCAGGAGAAAGAAGUGUCUGAACUGACAAAUUCUUCUGGCAGCGCCGAGAGCGAGAGCUGCGGUGCCGUUAGCAUCAGUUCGGGGAAAGAGCGGCGUCUCCAGAAGCUCCUGCGGAAGGAGGGGUUCCUGCCUGAGGGGAGCCACAGUCAUCCCUGUGGAUAACAGUUGCUUGCUCUUUCCCUCUCCCAGAGGCAGCGCUGAGGCCUCAGUUGUGGGUUCCUCUGCGGGGACGUUGUGGACUGCAUCUGGCUCAGGUGGAUGACAGUCAAGUGACUGGAGCUACAGAGGAGGAAAGGAGGGG